CUGUUGCCUUCCUCUGCAAGCUCCAAGGCUAGUCUCAUAGACUCGAUAUCGGUUUCUGGUUUCCAAAGGAAGCUUCGGGCUCGGCAGGUCCAUACCCUUUGCUGGGUUUCCUGCAGCUCCCAUCAAAAUACAAAUCCUACAUCAUCGCACUUACGACCUUUUCACCUGCUUCCCAACCUCUAAACUAAUUGCUUAGCGACCCAUCCAACAGAAGUAAAAUACCAGAACCCUUCGUGCCAGUAAAGCACUGGGUGCAGAGUCUGAUACAUGCAUCUUUCACAUGGGCCCAGUAUUACUGCCACUUAAAAGCUUCUAGGCCUACUUUCCAGACACAAGAAAUACAGGAAGAUCAACAAACAAGUUAAAGAACCCUAUGAGGAAGCACUCAGGCAAAUCCAGAACAUGGAUGUUCACAAGACAACUGUCCUGGUCUCUUUAAAAAGUGAAUUUCGUGGGCAGGGGCAGGUGAACUUUUCCUGAAGCAACAAAUGUCAAACAGCCCAGCUGACUAACUGUGGGAAGGACCAAAUAAUGCAAGGACAGGAUGUUCAAGAACAAGUUCUCUUGUCUCUUCCCCUUGGCAAGAAUGGAUGUGAAAAUGAUACUCAUGCUGCCUGUUGUACCAUGAAUGAUAAAGUUCCUUUUUCUGACCCAGGAAUCUCAGGUCUUCUGCCAGCAUCCAUGGAACAAAAAUAGGCUAACUUCCAAGCCUAGACAAAAUAUAAUGCAUACACUGAGAAAAGGAGGAUGGGUGAAUGACCUUGAUGCCAAAUUGUAAACUCCUACAAUGAGGAAGACCUUAUAUGGGACCAGCUUUUCUCAAUUGAAUCUAAACCAAGAGAAAAGAAAACCCAACUUGUUAAUUUUGAGAAAAUGGGAACAACAUGGAAAUCCUAAGCAAUCAAGAUAUAAAAAGACUUCAACAUCUUUGUUCGUGCUAGCCAGGAAUCUAAGCUAUGUGAGUAGCUCUCUUACUUUCAGUUUACAUCAAUCUCAAACCAUCUGAGGGUUUUCAUGCAGUUCAUGGACCAAAUUUUGACAGUAGACUAUGAACAAAAAACACUGGCAUACAGUAGGUGGUCAAUAAAUAAUAUAAAUAAUUGAUAA